rnacentral:rRNA from 1 species
CACGAACUGUGCGAACGUUAUUCGGAAUCACUGGGCUUAAAGGGUGCGUAGGCGUCUUGUAGGUCAGAUGUGAAAGCCCACGGCUCAACCGUGGAAUUGCGUUUGAAACCACAAGACUUGAGUAAGAUAGAGGUAAGCGGAACUGAUGGUGGAGCGGUGAAAUGCGUUGAUAUCAUCAGGAACACCGGUGGCGAAAGCGGCUUACUGGGUCUUUACUGACGCUGAGGCACGAAAGCUAGGGGAGCGAACGGGAUUAGAUACCCCCGUA